CGGGUGCGUAACGCGUAGGAAUCUGCCUAUUAGUGGGGGACAACGUGGGGAAACCCACGCUAAUACCGCAUACGCCCUACGGGGGAAAGGAGGGGAUCUUCGGGCCUUGCGCUAUUAGAUGAGCCCAAGUCGGAUUAGCUAGUUGGUAGGGUAAAGGCCUACCAAGGCGACGAUCCGUAGCUGGUCUGAGAGGAUGAUCAGCCACACUGGGACUGAGACACGGCCCAGACUCC
rnacentral:rRNA from 1 species